CAGGAGUGUGAGGAUAAGGCGACUGGGCACUGAGGUCCAGGCUGGAGGCAGCACAUCCCCAAGGCUGCCUUCCAAACCCAGCAGGGCACUCAUCACAUACAGGAACCCACCCACCUUGCGAAACACUGUCCUUGUCCGCUCUGUAGGGGGAGCAGAAUGGAGGAGACCAAGCAAAGAGCCCAUGUCAUCAUCACUCCCACUUGCGAGCACAAGUUGUUGCAUCACUCCUACAUUGCAUACACCAAUCAAUAUUGGUUAGACAAGAUCAAAGUGAAUGAUACUUGACACUUUCUAAGGUUUAUGCAUCAUCCCUUGGCUGGUUCUGCAUUGCCCUAACCACAAAAAAAAUAGAUUGAGACCACUCACCAAGAGCCUGUGAACGACACUCCAGGAAAGGGACAAGAGCAACAGCACAUUUGGCACCUCCAGAUUCCCUAAAGACAGCAGCAUUUUGGCUGUUGCCUGAGAGGAGUUCUGCAACAUCAAUUUAUACAUGAGAAGCUUACCUUCACUUGCAGCAACUUGUUGUGGUUUUGACUUGAGCAGUUCAUGGUACCUGCUUAGGCAAGUGACCAGCACCUCCAACAGACCCACCUCUCUGUAUACAUCC